CUCCUAGAGUUAUAAAGUGGGGGGUUAUGGUUCCCACCCUAGUGAAAGACAAGUUCUUCUUCCUCCCAUUGAAUCAAAAACUCAAACAAUCCAUUGUCUUGCAAAUAGGGUGGAAAACCAUACUCCAAAUUUGAUUAUUGUCAUAACCUUACUAUUGUGAACAAUUCACAUAUAUUGUUUUGAGUCUUGUGAGGCAUUUGUGGUGACAUGCAACUUCAAGAAAACUUGAAGGAAGGCUAAAGGAGUUCACAACAACUCAAGGACAAUUAUCAAAAGGAGGUUCAUCAAAUUCCACAUAUGGAUUCAGGUUAGCUUCCGCUCAUGUAGUUUAUAUAU
rnacentral:lncRNA from 1 species